GUGUGAGUGUGUAUGUAUGAGCUAGGGACAGUUAGAUUCUGAAGGUCUUCCAAGGGGCUGCCAAACCAGGCAGUCUUAGACGGCGGAGCUCCGCUCCCACCGCGGACACUCCAGGGAGGCCAGUGUGGGCACAGAGACCAUGCCAUCUUGAGAAACAGCUGCUUGAGACUAGGAUCCUGGCUUCAGAUGCAAACCCAAUCUGGUCUCAGAUGCAAACCAGGACCCUGCAGCCACUGGGGACAGAGACCUGCAACCACAGCUGCGGACCCACAGACACCAAGAAUCCAAACAUCCAGGCUGCAGAUUUCUGUGAGUCACAGAUCCUACCCCCCUCCCUGCAGAAUCUCGGGCAGCACCAUAGUC